AGUGAACGCUGGCGGUAGGCCUAACACAUGCAAGUCGAACGGCAGCACAGUAAGAGCUUGCUCUUACGGGUGGCGAGUGGCGGACGGGUGAGGAAUACAUCGGAAUCUACUUUUUCGUGGGGGAUAACGUAGGGAAACUUACGCUAAUACCGCAUACGACCUACGGGUGAAAGCAGGGGAUCUUCGGACCUUGCGCGAUUGAAUGAGCCGAUGUCGGAUUAGCUAGUUGGCGGGGUAAAGGCCCACCAAGGCGACGAUCCGUAGCUGGUCUGAGAGGAUGAUCAGCCACACUGGAACUGAGACACGGUCCAGACACCUACGGGAGGCAGCAGUGGGGAAUAUUGGACAAUGGGCGCAAGCCUGAUCCAGCAUACCGCGUGGGUGAAGAAGGCCUUCGGGUUGUAAAGCCCUUUUGUUGGGAAAGAAAAGCAGCAGGUUAAUACCCCGCUGUUCUGACGGUACCCAAAGAAUAAGCACCGGCUAACUUCGUG
rnacentral:rRNA from 1 species